rnacentral:rRNA from 1 species
CAAUAGCGUAUAUUAAAGUUGUUGCAGUUAAAAAGCUCGUAGUAGGAUUUCUGAUCGAGACAUCAGGUCGGGUCCGAGAGGAUCAUGUACUUUGAUUUUGUUUUGAUCAUCCUUGGGGAGAGCAUUUCUGGCAUUCAGUUGUCGGGAUUGGGAUCCUCAUCGUUUACUGUGAAAAAAUUAGAGUGUUCAAAGCAGGCCUCGGCCUCUGAAUACAUUAGCAUGGAAUAAUAAGAUAGGACUUUGGUGGUCUAUUUUGUUGGUUUGCACGCCAAAGUAAUGAUUAAUAGGGAUAGUUGGGGGUAUUCGUAUUCAAUUGUCAGAGGUGAAAUUCUUGGAUUUAUGGAAGACGAACUACUGCGAAAGCAUUUACCAAGGAUGUUUUCAUUAA